GUCAAAUUGCUGAUGCAAAACAAUGUCUCAGAAAUACAACCAGCUUGUUCACCCUUUUUGCAAACCUCUUUUCAGGCUUGGACAGCCUGGCUGCGACAGUGGAACCCUCCUAAAAAACGGGUGCCAAGAGACAUAACUGGUGUUGUGGGAACAGAAUUGGGAAUCAAUUCAGAGCUCCAGUUACCUUACAUGAACUUUUAGAAUCCAAUCUCAUGUUGAUUCACAAGCUACUGCCUACUCCCAUUGGGAUGAACCUUACUUUGGUAAAGCAACCAUUACUUCAUCAAGAUCUAAUAGAGAUCCUAGGAAAAAUCAAGGAGAAUGGACAGAAAACUCUGUCCUGAAGACUCCACGACGACACCAUGGAACCCUGCUGAUGAAGGUCUUUCGAGGGCAAUCGUCAGUCACGGGGUGGUGUAAGAGCCCGUCUGAAGCCCCUCAUUUUCCAUUCUGCCUUCCGAUUGCCACGAGAAAGAAUCCCUUCCUCCACUGCAGUUCCGGCUUAG